GAUGAACGCUGGCGGCGUGCCUAAUACAUGCAAGUCGAGCGAACAGACGAGGAGCUUGCUCCUCUGACGUUAGCGGCGGACGGGUGAGUAACACGUGGAUAACCUACCUAUAAGACUUGGAUAACUUCGGGAAACCGGAGCUAAUACCGGAUAAUAUAUUGAACCGCAUGGUUCAAUAGUGAAAGACGGUUUUGCUGUCACUUAUAGAUGGAUCCGCGCCGCAUUAGCUAGUUGGUAAGGUAACGGCUUACCAAGGCGACGAUGCGUAGCCGACCUGAGAGGGUGAUCGGCCACACUGGAACUGAGACACGGUCCAGACUCCUACGGGAGGCAGCAGUAGGGAAUAUUCCGCAAUGGGCGAAAGCCUGACGGAGCAACGCCGCGUGAGUGAUGAAGGUCUUCGGAUCGUAAAACUCUGUUAUUAGGGAAGAACAAAUGUGUAAGUAACUAUGCACGUCUUGACGGUACCUAAUCAGAAAGCCACGGCUAACUACGUG
rnacentral:rRNA from 1 species